UACAGAGGUCCCAAGCGUUGUUCGGAUUCACUGGGCGUAAAGGGUGCGUAGGCGGUUGGGUAAGUUCGAUGUGAAAUCUCCGAGCCCAACUCGGAAAUGGCAUCGGAUACUAUCCGGCUCGAGGAUUGGAGGGGGGACUGGAAUUCUCGGUGUAGCAGUGAAAUGCGUAGAUAUCGAGAGGAACACCAGUGGCGAAGGCGAGUCCCUGGACAAUUCCUGACGCUGAGGCACGAAAGCUAGGGGAGCAAACAGG
rnacentral:rRNA from 1 species